AGCCCAAGGGAGGACUGAUGGCAAGUGGGUAGCUGCUGUGAACUGCACAAGUGGAGAUGCUUCUCCAGAUUGUCAUUGUAUACUGAAACUCCAUAUAUCUUGGGUGACAAACACCCUUUCCAAAAAUGGACAGUCAAGUAAGUACUGUGUCACAUGCACUGGAGAGUACCUCUGCAAUAUUUUGAUUCAUGGUAAUGUCACUCUAUGUGUGUGUGAGAAAUGUUCCUAUAAGGUCAAGCUUGACACCACGAGUCAGUGGUGAAAAUUGGCCCGACUGGAACUUGUCAGCCCCUGAAACGGGCGAGUCAUGACUUAUUCAUCAAUGGAAUGAGUUGGUCCAAGUUGGCCUGUCAAAGACCAUGCUUGUCUUAGAGUAGAAAAAUGCACUAGCAAAGAUUUGAGUUUUAUGAUAUCUCACCAGUUUAUUGUUUUGACAGGCUUAUAAUCCUUUGCUGGAUAUUCACAUUUCUUAAAUUUCUUUCUUUCUUUCUUUUCUUUUUGGUACUAAGAGAAUAAAAUUGUGUUUUCAGGUUUGCCAGCAACACAUGUAUGGCUGGGACUAUUAGGAGAAAAUAGUCAUUGGUGAUAGUUUGAAAAAUCAACUUCUCUUUUGAUAGUUGGAAAUUAAUGUAUGCAUGGCUAUUCGAGAGGAUAUAUCCACUACAACACAACGAGUGCACUGUCAUUAUCUUUUAGCCACUUUCUAUACAGCGCACCAUACUGAAUUUUAAAUUGCAAUUUGUGCUGCUAUGGUCUCUGUUUUCAGUAUGGUGUAGGAGGACAGAUGAGCUUGUUGAUGGCUAGGUUUUGGAAGCCUUUGGAGUAGACCCCAUCAAGGGGUUUACGGAUUUUCAGGUGGUGGAAAAUGCAAAAAUCUAGGCAGAAACGGUAUGGAUUUUUAAACAAAUAAAAAAUAAAUCCGGUCUUUUUUUAAUGGCCAGAGAGAGUUCUAUAUUACAACGGUUCUUUUAAUUGUAUAGCUAAUUUCAUUUUUUUGCUGACAUUGUUGUAAGAGGCAGCCAUGAUACGAUUGGAUAUAAGUGAAUAUAUGGAGCGGCAAAGAAAGUAGUUGGCAAGAUUAAAGUGGAAGAAGAGUAAGACAAGGUGUUCUUGUCCAGAGUGCGAUCAACCUCCUACAAAUACCCAUCCAUCGUAAGUUCGUAACAGACCAUAAGCAACAACAGCCAUGGCCAUACAAGAAUCUCUCUUGCUUUUCUUCUUUUAAUAUUAGAAUUUCUUUCUUCCAAUGCCUUU